AGUAAAAGUCGUAACAAGGUCUCCGUUGGUGAACCAGCGGAGGGAUCAUUACAGAGUUAUCCAACUCCCAAACCCAUGUGAACUUAUCUCUUUGUUGCCUCGGCGCAAGCUACCCGGGACCUCGCGCCCCGGGCGGCCCGCCGGCGGACAAACCAAAACUCUUGUUAUCUUAGUUGAUUAUCUGAGUGUCUUAUUUAAUAAGUCAAAACUUUCAACAACGGAUCUCUUGGUUCUGGCAUCGAUGGAGAACGCAGCGAAAUGCGAUAAGUAAUGUGAAUUGCAGAAUUCAGUGAAUCAUCGAAUCUUUGAACGCACAUUGCGCCCAUUAGUAUUCUAGUGGGCAUGCCUGUUCGAGCGUCAUUUCAACCCCUAAGCACAGCUUAUUGUUGGGAACCUACGGCUUCGUAGUUCCUCAAAGACAUUGGCGGAGUGGCAGUGGUCCUCUGAGCGUAGUAAUCUUUUAUCUCGCUUCUGUUAGGUGCUGCCCCCCCGGCCGUAAAACCCCCAAUUUUUUCUGGUUGACCUCGGAUCAGGUAGGAAUACCCGCUGAACUUAAGCAUAUCAAUAAGCGGAGGA
rnacentral:rRNA from 1 species